UCGGCGCUGCCUGCGGAGGUGGCAGCCAUCUCCUACUCGGCAUCAUGGCUGCCCUCAGACCCCUGGUGAAACCCAAGAUGGUCAGAAAGAGGACCGAGAAGUUCAUCCAGCACCAGUCAGACCGGUAUGUCAACAUUAAGCGGAACUGGCAGUAACCCAGAGGCACUGACAAUAGGGUGCGUAGAAGAUUCAAGGGCCAGACCUUGAUGCCCAACACAGGUUAUGGGAGCAACAAGAAAACAAAGCACAUGCUGCCCAGUGGCUUUCGGGAAUUUCUGGUCCAUAACGUCAAGGAGCUUGAAGUGCUGCUGAUGAGCAAUAAAUCUCACUGUGCUGAGACUGCUCACAGCGUCUCCUCAAAGAACCGUGAAGCCAUUGUGGAAAGAGCAGCCCAGCUGGCCAUCAGAGUCACCAAUCCCAAUGCCAGGCUGCACAGCGAAGAAAACGAAUAGACAGAUUGUGGACACGUUGUAUUUGUGUUACUAAAAUCAUAAAAUUCUGCCAUCU